ACAUUUAUAUCAUAAAAUAGCAGGUCCGCUGUCAGGCAAGUUGAGGUUGAAAUAUCUUUUAUACAUGACGCACG